CCUACGGGAGGCAGCAGUGAGGAAUAUUGGUCAAUGGACGAGAGUCUGAACCAGCCAAGUAGCGUGAAGGAUGACUGCCCUAUGGGUUGUAAACUUCUUUUAUAUGGGAAUAAAACGUUCCACGUGUGGGAUUUUGUAUGUACCAUAUGAAUAAGGAUCGGCUAACUCCGUGCCAGCAGCCGCGGUAAUACGGAGGAUCCGAGCGUUAUCCGGAUUUAUUGGGUUUAAAGGGUGCGUAGGUGGAUUGUUAAGUCAGUUGUGAAAGUUUGCGGCUCAACCGUAAAAUUGCAGUUGAAACUGGCAGUCUUGAGUACAGUAGAGGUGGGCGGAAUUCGUGGUGUAGCGGUGAAAUGCUUAGAUAUCACGAAGAACUCCGAUUGCGAAGGCAGUUCACUGGACUGCAACUGACACUGAGGCUCGAAAGUGUGGGUAUCAAACAGGAUUAGAUACCCCUGUAGUC
rnacentral:rRNA from 1 species